GCGCAGGUGUUGUAACAGAAGCCAAGCUACCUUGAGGUGGUAGUGUCCGCAAGGACGUGGAGGUGCAAGUCCUCUCCUGCGCACCA
rnacentral:tRNA from 1 species